CUGGUGCAUCGAACUGCUAGCCUCACUUUCGAUCAAAUUUUGCUCCAUGAGCUAAUGGAUGCAAAAAGCGGGUUCCUGUGUUGCAUACCCUAUUGCGAUGGAAAUUUGUGCCUAUCGUUGUCCCUUUCAAUGCGGUAUCCGCUUUGGGUGCUCGGUUGGACUAGAUAGUGGGGCUWGUAUUCCGCGAACAUCUCAUUUUUGAUUUGUUCGGAUGGAUCGCGAGUGCUUACUUGUUCUCUCGGAUGCGGAACCUUCGUCAUGGGUGUAGGGGUCAUCGGCCCUUGUUCCUAAAUCUCAAGCGUUUAUCGCUUAUCGGAAUGACGCUCUUGCCUUGUCUUUGAUCGCGUGGAGCUCUUGAGCUUUCACGACGGAUUAUGCUUGGCGGACGUCGUGAAGGAAUGCUACCUGGUUG
rnacentral:misc_RNA from 1 species